UUUAAACCGUUGAACAAGAGUAGUAGGUAAAAAUAUUUGUUUACAGAGAGUUCCGGGGGGUGAGAUCGGAACAGCAAGAGUUUUUAUUGAAUGGACUUGUGAGGGCAGCUCGAAAUUUCUUGGGAAAGAGUAGACGCUGACGGGUGUACCGAUCCGUUAUCAGCAGGGAGUGUAUGUCAGUACAUGUAAAGAGUGGCCAGGAGUCUUUUUGUUUUAUCAAUAGAAGAAAAGAACAACUGGCAAUUUGGGUGGUACCGCAGGAGAUGAUUCCCCUGUCCCAAUA
rnacentral:ncRNA from 1 species